UCGCUUCGGCACUGGCGGACACGUCUAUGAAAGCAACAGCAAAUAACGAAUGAAUUAAGAAGCAUGUGUGAAUUGUAAUUGAUUUCUUGUCAACGUUAUAAUUGAAAUGCUCUUCGAUUAAAAAUGAAAAUAAGGAUAAAUGUUAAGAUAAAUAUCGAUUGCAAUUGAAAUUUUAUGAAGCAGGAAAGACAAUGAGAUAAAUUUCACUAAAUGUACAUACCACCGUGUGCCCCUGAAUCGCCAUAGCCACCAGCAGCACCUCCAGCAGUGGCGGAAGCCUCAGCCUUUGCACUGGCACUAGCUCCUCCAAAUCCACCGGCUCCAGAUCCACCAAAUCCACUUCCAGCGCCUUUGGUUGGGCUUCCAAAGCCACCGAGUCCACUUGAUCCAGUACUUCCAGCAUUUGCUAUAGCGUCAGCUUUAGCACUUGCUCCAGCAUUUGCACCAGCGGUUCCAGCAGCGCCAUUACCAAAGCCGGGUCCAGACGUUCCAUAGAUAGGAGCACCUUUGCUUGGAGCACCGGAAC